rnacentral:rRNA from 1 species
ACUCCUACGGGAGGCAGCAGUGAGGAAUAUUGGACAAUGGGCGAAAGCCUGAUCCAGCCAUGCCGCGUGAAGGAUGAAUGCCCUAUGGGUUGUAAACUUCUUUUAUACAGGAAGAAACCUUUGGAUUUAUCCAGAGCUGACAUUACUGUACGAAUAAGCAUCGGCUAACUCCGUGCCAGCAGCCGCGGUAAUACGGAGGAUGCAAGCGUUAUCCGGAUUUAUUGGGUUUAAAGGGUCCGUAGGCGGAUUUUUAAGUCAGUGGUGAAAGCCUACAGCUCAACUGUAGAACUGCCAUUGAUACUGAAGAUCUUGAAUAUAUAUGAAGUGGGCGGAAUGCGUCAUGUAGCGGUGAAAUGCACAGAUAUGACGCAGAACACCAAUUGCGAAGGCAGCUCACUAAUGUAUUAUUGACGCUGAGGGACGAAAGCAUGGGAGCGAACAGGAUUAGAUACCCUGGUAGCUA